AUAGUAAGCCGUCUUAUCGCUGCGCUUAUGGGCGGAGAGGAAAGUCCGGGCAACAAAGAGCAGUCUACUUCCUAACGGGAAGGGUUCCGGCGUAAUCCGGAAUACAGCCAGUGCCACAGAAAAGAACCGCCGGUACAUGUACCAGGUACCAUUUACCAUUUGUUAAAUUUUAACUAUUGUUAAGUGUAAACUGGUAAAUGAAAAGGUAAGGGUGAAAAGGUGCGGUAAGAGCGCACCAGUACGCGGGCGACCGUUGUAGCUGGGUAAACCUUAGGCGUUGAAAGACCAAAUAGGCUGGCAGCUCAUUUAUUAUUGGUUACUGUUUAUUCAGUUAUUUAGGUAAUUGGUAAAUGGUACCUGGUAAAUGAUAAGGGCGGCUCGUCCAAUGCUAGUGGGUAGGUUGAUGGAGCCCCGCCGUGAGGUUGGGCCUAGAUAAAUGAUAAGACGCUAUCCUUUUGGGUUAGCGACAGAACCCGGCUUACAGGCUUGCUAUAUUU
rnacentral:RNase_P_RNA from 1 species